rnacentral:rRNA from 1 species
GAUGAACGCUGGCGGCGUGCAUAAUACGUGUAAGUCGAACGGGGUAUGAGCAAUCGUACCCAGUGGCGAACGGGUGAGUAACGCGUUGGUGACCUGCCCCGAAUCGGGGGAUAACAGCUCGAAAGGGCUGCUAAUACCGCAUAAUUGCCGGUCAGCUAGAGAAGCGGGAAGAAAGGCGAGAGUCGAUACGGGAGGGGCCUGCGUCCCAUCCGCUAGUUGGUGAGGUAACGGCGACCCAAGGCGACGAAGGGUAGGGGAGCUGAGAGGGUGACCCCCCACAAUGGCACUGAAACACGGGCCAGAAACCUACGGGUGGCAGCAGUAGGGAAUAUUGCACAAUGGGCGAAAGCCAGAUGCAGCAACGCCGCGUGAGGGAUGAAGGCCUUCGGGUCGUAAAGCGCUUUUCGGUAGGACGAGGAAGGACGGUACUGCAGGAAUAAGGAUCGGCUAACUACGUGCCAGCAGCCGCCGUAACAC